GUUUGUUUCUUCUCACUGAAGAAAUCUGACUGGAGGUUUUUAACAUGUUGCCAUUCUUGCUCACUAUAUGUGUUUGUUCCUAGAGGUCUUUGUAAUGUUGCUGUCUCCCUCCAACCUAGCUUUCUUUCUUUACACAGAUAUCCUCUCCUUUGUCUUUGUGCUGAUGGCAGCAAAUCAUGUCUAUCAAGAGCCGGUCCACCUGCAAAAUACUCAGUUUGGCUCAUGAAACAAAUUCUGAACCUAGACCACUAAUCUAGUCUUCUCCUGACUCACCCAAUUCAGGAGAUUUGUUUGGCCACAGCAAGUCCCAGUAUCCGAGGUGUGUGGGUGCCAGCAGGCAGCGUGGGUCGGUGGAGACCCAAUUCCUGGGAAUGGCCCAGGGCACAGACCCCACAGCCCUCCCAGCAUUGCCAGGAGCCAAGGGCAUCAGCCUUCAGAGAGGGGCUUCUGC
rnacentral:lncRNA from 12 species